GUUGGCUUAGAAGCAGCCAUCAUUUAAAGAAAGCGUAAUAGCUCACUAGUCGAGUCGGCCUGCGCGGAAGAUAUACCGGGGCUCAAACUGAUAACCGAAGCUGUGGAUGUAUCCUUUUGGGUACAUGGUAGAGGAGCGUUCUGUAAGUGGUUGAAGCUGUGUUGAGAAGCAUGGUGGACAUAUCAGAAGUGCGAAUGCUGACAUGAGUAACGAUAAGAGGGGUGAAAAACCCCUCCGCCGAAAGAU
rnacentral:rRNA from 1 species